UACGAAGGGGGCUAGCGUUGCUCGGAAUUACUGGGCGUAAAGCGCGCGCAGGCGGUCCUUUAAGUCGGGGGUGAAAGCCCAGAGCUCAACUCUGGAACUGCCUUCGAAACUAGAGGACUUGGGUACGAGAGAGGUGAGUGGAAUUCCGAGUGUAGAGGUGAAAUUCGUAGAUAUUCGGAAGAACACCAGUGGCGGAGGCGGCGCACUGGCCCGUUACCGACGCUCAGGCGCGACAGCGUGGGGAGCAAACAGG
rnacentral:rRNA from 1 species